UUGGUGGACGAGGUGUCCUGGCAACCACCACUCAAUCUUGACGAUGUUCUGAAACAAUCCAUUGCCGAGUGUGAUUUACCUUGCAAUGAAGAUGUCGGCUGUAACGAAGAUGCACCCUGCAUGCAAGGUCGAAUCAAUUUUGACGAGAUCUAUUUACGUACACCAUGUCCUAGCUCGUCAAAAGAACCUGGUACAUCGAUUAUCAACAGGGUGGCUAUUAAUAACGUAUGCAAGCGAAGAUUAGCAGAAGAAUUAUUUCAAGGUAUCCAUACAGACUCUGAGUUUAAUUUUGACCCUUGAUUACUAAAGAGAGGAUGAACAAGUCUUAUAUUGAAGAUCUAAUCAAAUACGGUUUUGAUAGUAAUGACAGUAUUGACGAUUGUUUAUCACAAUCGUCAAUAUAUGAUACAUUAAUUGACGAUAGCGUCUAUAGUGAUACUUAUUGUGACAAUGCGGACGAUGAUAAUGACAAUACAUCGUAUUAUAAUCGAGUCAA